GCUCCAGGUAAAUCCUGGUCCUUCUUGGUGGCUGUAUGAUCUUAAGUAAGCCCAUUUUGCUUCAAUUUUCUUAUCUAGAAAAUGGGGAUAAUAACACCCAUGUUAUAGAGUUAUUCUGAUGAUUUCUAAGAGUCUCAGAGACCUAGGAUCCACAAAAUCAAAACAACAAAACCAAGCCUUUGUGCACAUCUGUGGUUGUGACCAGUUGGAGAGACAUUAGGAGAUGAGAUACUAUGUUCACUCCUCACAGCUGUACCAGGGACCUGAGAUAUUCCGUCACUAUUCUAUGAGCCUGGGCUGGUGAAUGGUUCCUGCUUUCACUAUUCCAGAUGUCCAGCUCUGUACCUUGCUGCUCUCCUUAAAGCCUGCCUCCCUCUAGGGAGCUAUGGUGCAUUACUCACGAGUGACAGAACCAACGAGCUUCAUCUCCCAAGAGGCUGGUGCAUCUGUUUAAAGGAGCAGGCACUAGGCAGAGCAGCCCCCACCCCACCCUCCAUGGCAGAGUGCAGUGGGGGAAGAAGUUUUCAUAGAAAUGCUUUCUAUAAAGCAUUUUCAUAGAGAAAGCAGGUUCAUAUAGAAAGCACUGGCUGCUGGUUGGAGUGGAGAGAUUGAAGACCCUCAUCUAGGAUCAAGCAACCCCCAGAAAACAAUUUUAAACAUGUCCAUUCAGACAAAAGGAGUCCAAAACCAUAAGAUCCUCUCAGCAUCCUGAACUAAUGUCCAGCUGUUAUCUCGGUUACAUGAUCUGGAGACUGAGAACUUGGGACACUCCUUGUUCAUCCAAGCGUUUGAACAAAUCCAGUGUCCUUCUUGAGCAAAAUAUGAGCCCCACCUUUAGAAUUUGUGAAUCUCCCUUUCAGAUGGAAAAGCUUUUUUGUGCAUUAAAUAAACUUGAUCCUUAGAUCC
ensembl:lncRNA novel transcript